rnacentral:rRNA from 1 species
UACAGAGGGUGCGAGCGUUGUCCGGAAUCACUGGGCGUAAAGGGCGCGUAGGCGGCUCGGUCAGCGUGCGGUGAAAGCCCGGGGCUCAACCCCGGGUCGGCCGUGCGAACUGCUGGGCUGGAGCACUGUAGAGGCAGGUGGAAUUCCGGGUGUAGCAGUGGAAUGCGUAGAGAUCCGGAAGAACACCGGUGGCGAAGGCGGCCUGCUGGGCAGUAGCUGACGCUGAGGAGCGAAAGCGUGGGGAGCGAACGGG